UAAUACGUAGGGACCAAGCGUUGUUCGGAUUUACUGGGCGUAAAGGGCGCGUAGGCGGCCCUACAAGUCACUUGUGAAAUCUCCGGGCUUAACUCGGAACGGCCAAGUGAAACUGUAGAGCUAGAGUGUGGAAGGGGCAAUCGGAAUUCUUGGUGUAGCGGUGAAAUGCGUAGAUAUCAAGAGGAACACCUGAGGUGAAGACGGGUUGCUGGGCCAACACUGACGCUGAGGCGCGAAAGCCAGGGGAGCAAACGGGAUUAGAUACCCCGGUAGUCCUGGCCCUAAACGAUGAAUACUUGGUGUCUGGAGUUUCAACACUCCGGGUGCCGUCGCUAACGUUUUUAGUAUUCCGCCUGGGGAGUACGCUCGCAAGAGUG
rnacentral:rRNA from 1 species